UAUAAACGAAAGCCAGUUCAUUUUAUCUAUGCUUUACUUUUAAAUUUUUUUUUUUAAAUUUGGUAACAAACAAUAAAUUAAAAAUUUGGUUCCUUCAAUUAUGACUGCUAAGCUCAUAAGCACACAUUACAGAGUACAAAGGGACUGGAAAACGUUCUUUCAGCGAUAUAACAAACAGAUAUCUCUUAAAAUUAGCUUGUGUUAUAAAAACAAACAGGCGGGCAAGCAAGUAGUUAAGGUGGCUGGAUCCCACAUGGCCAACAGCGGGGCUCCAGUCCUGGAUCAGCAGCUUGCCCGAAAUCCACAGAAGAAAAAGAAGGGCUUACAGCGACCGGCCCCACAAUCACUCACACUGGGGGAGUGAAGCAUCCCUGUGGAGACACCCAUCCGAGCUCUGGCCAACAACUUCACUGCAGCCUUGAGAUGAACUGCACAGAUUAAACAAAGCUAAGUGAAACAAACAAAACCUAUACAGAAGGGACGCCUGCAGAAUCUUCUGUUCAAAGCCUCCUGAGUAUUACACAGACUUGAGUUCGGUAUUUCCAUCAGAAAAUAGAGAAAAAGUUUGCCCAUCCGUGAAUCAGUGAGGUGAAAAAGUUAUAGUUGAUGUUACUAUCAAAUCUGUCAGAUGAUCUUGGUAAUUGGAUUUUAUUACCAGCUUAUAAAUUUCUACAUAAGAGAUGACUUAAAAAAGGACAGAGUUCAACCCCUCUUUGAAGCAGAUGUCCAGCUGUGCCUACAGAUCUUAGCUGUGGACUGCUGGCAAACACCCUGUAUCCAUCUGGAUUUCACAGAGAGUGAAGUCAUCAUCACCUUGCUCUAAGGCGCAUAACAGUGUGGGUAACAAGUAAAUGUUCAGCACUGGAAGCUCAGACUCUCAGCACGUACCCUCUGGAGAUUCUGAAUGUUUCCCCAAGUGAUAACAACCAUGAACUAAAUUUUGAAUUUUACAAGGUUCAUGCUUAAUAGUAGGUAGCAUUUUGGGCAAAUGUGCAAUCAAGCUAAACUUGCAAACUAAACUGUUAUUUAAGUCUUUCACAUAUACAUAUUGCUAUCCUAUGGCAAACACUUAUUGACAAAAAACAAUGUACAGACAGAGCUUCCUAACGUAAUUUCAGUGACCUAAGUUUUUAAAUUACAUUAGACUAUUUCUAUGUGGUGUAAAAAAAAAAAUGACAAUUCAAUUUUCAGCCUCUGCAUUUUUAUUUCUAGAGUUCUUGCUCUUUAAAACUAAUUAAUUUUCCAUAACUGCUGUACAGUUAUAAUCAGUCGCUAUGAAUCAGAAGUAAAAUUCAGCUCAUGUCAGAAAUUAUUCAGGAACCUUCAUUUGGUUUUAAAGUAGAACGUUUAAUUAAAUGAGCUACAAGAAAAUAGUCCAAUUUCUA